rnacentral:rRNA from 1 species
AGCGAACGCUGGCGGCAGGCUUAACACAUGCAAGUCGAACGGGCAUAGCAAUAUGUCAGUGGCAGACGGGUGAGUAACGCGUGGGAACGUACCUUUUGGUUCGGAACAACACAGGGAACUUGUGCUAAUACCGGAUAAGCCCUUACGGGAAAGAUUAUCGCCGAAAGAUCGGCCCGCGUCUGAUUAGCUAGUUGGUAGGGUAA